rnacentral:rRNA from 1 species
UACAGAGGUCUCAAGCGUGUUCGGAUUCAUUGGGCGUAAAGGGUGCGUAGGCGCCUUCUAAGUCGAACGUGAAAUCCCCGGGCUCAACCCGGGAACUGCGUCCGAUACUGGAAGGCUUGAAUCCGGGAGAGGGAUGCGGAAUUCCAGGUGUAGCGGUGAAAUGCGUAGAUAUCUGGAGGAACACCGGUGGCGAAGGCGGCAUCCUGGACCGGCAUUGACGCUGAGGCGCGAAAGCCAGGGGAGCAAACGGG